GACGAACGCUGGCGGCGUGCUUAACACAUGCAAGUCGAACGGAAAGGCCUGCUUUCCCUUGUGGAUUGCGGGUACUCGAGUGGCGAACGGGUGAGUAACACGUGAGUGAUCUGCCCCCAACUUGGGUAUAAGCCUGGGAAACUGGGUCUAAUUCCCGAUAGGACUGCAGGGUGGUGCCUGUGGUGGAAAACGAUUUUCUAGUGGUUGGGGAUGAGCUCGCGGCCUAUCAGCUUGUUGGUGGGGUAAUGGCCUACCAAGGCGGCGACGGGUAGCCGGCCUGAGAGGGUGGACGGCCACAUUGGGACUGAGAUACGGCCCAGACUGCUACGGGAGGCAGCAGUGGGGAAUAUUGCACAAUGGGCGGAAGCCUGAUGCAGCGACGCCGCGUGAGGGAUGACGGCCUUCGGGUUGUAAACUCCUUUCGACCGCGAGGAAGCCACCUGGUUGGAAGGGUGGUGACGGUAGUGGUAGAAGAAGCACCGGCUAACUACGUG
rnacentral:rRNA from 1 species